GAUCUCGUGAGAACCAACUCACUAAAACAAAAACAGGAUGGGGAAACCGCCUCCAUGAUUCAAUUAUUUCCACCUGGUCCCUCCCAGGACACAUGGGGAUUAUGGGAACUACAAGUCAAGAUGAGAUUUGGGUGGAGACACAGCCGAACGAUAUCAGGGUGUUGUGAGGAUUAAGGGAGCAAAUGGCUGCGAAAGCACCUUGUAAAGGGUAGAGCAGUGUGCAGCGUGAGGGAUUAUUAUCAUUGUUAAGACGUCUACGCCUCGUUGCUCACCCUGUGUGUUCCUGCAGCUUCUCAACUUUUCCCUCCUUUCUCCCUGGUUUCCACGCCUGGGCUGCUGAGUCAGGGGACCAGCCAAGGCUGGCGAGGGCUGAACAAACACUCUGACAUGUCGAAGCAGGAAAUGACAGUUCCCAGGCAGCCCUCUGUUUUAGGUGUGGAACAGGCUCCAAACACACUUUGUGUGAUAAACUCUAGUAACACCAAGCUGAGCUCUACCUCCACCCCCACAGGCUGCAAGACCAGGACAUGAGGCUGAAAGUCAGGGAAGUCCCUGUGAGACGAGGGCCCUGGGCAAGCACUGGCCAGAUUGUAGCAAGGUCACUCACCAGGCCACCCCGCUGGUUCCACUUCGGCACCCACCUCUGGCAGCCAUGAUGCUUCUGCAGCAUGCCAGUUUGUUCGCUGAGACCUUCACAGAGGGUCGCACAACCACCCUGGACAGUGAGAAACUAAGGUGACUGAGGCAAGUCAUUGAACCACCCUGAGCCUCGGCUUCCUCAUCUAUGAAAUGGAGUUGACAGCAUCUGUCCUGCCUGUGGUAAAAAUUGUUGUGAUCCCACAACCAAAAGGAAAGAAAGAAUUAUGAGAAAAUAUGUACUUAUUCUGUGAAAAUAUGUGAGAUAUUCAUGAGAGACUUCCUGUUCCAGUGGACUCUUCCACCGCCCUUGAGUGGGGAACAUCCAGGCCUUCACACUCAUACGCUCAGCCCAUCACCCUUUUGUGCAAGGUGCAAGAUCCUCUGCCCACCUGAAGCCUCAAGGCCUGAUGGAAACCAUCCCCAGCCACUCCAGUACCUUUGACCGGAGCGUGACCCUGCUGGAGGUGUGCGGGAGCUGGCCUGAGGGCUUCGGGCUGCGGCACAUGUCCUCCAUGGAGCACACGGAGGAGGGCCUCCGGGAGCGACUUGCCGACGCCAUGGCCGAGUCACCCAGCCGGGACGUCGUGGGAUCCGGAACAGAACUUCAGCGAGAGGGAAGCAUCGAGACUCUGAGUAACAGCUCAGGCUCCACCAGCGGCAGCAUACCAAGAAACUUUGAUGGCUACCGAUCUCCGCUGCCCACCAAUGAGAGCCAGCCCCUCAGCCUCUUCCCGACUGGCUUCCCGUAGGUACCAGCAACCUGCUUCUGACUGGCCAGCCCCCUCCCCUGCUGGAGGAGGGGAGAAGCCCCACUCUGGUCCUACCCUUCAGUCUCUGCUCUUCCUUCAUCAACCACCUUCCCCAAGCUUAGUGACAGCAGCCGCCCUUCCUACCUGGAUGGAGAAGAGACCCUUCAAGCACCUCGGCGCACCUGCCCUCUGCCACACCCGUCAGUGGAGGCUGUGGCCAGGAGAGACUGCAGAAGCUCGGUCCCUGUGUAUGUUUGCAUAUGACAUCCUGCAUUGGAUCCGCUUUUGUAUUUUUUAACCUUACCCAUGGUGGGGCGGGUGCGGGGGGGGCCUGGAACAGUGACCAGAUCUGGGGGCCUGAGUGGGGACAGAGUUGAUGGUCCACCUGGCCAUCUUGAUCCUGAGUGGACAGUCACAGCCUCAGCUCAUGUCUGGCUGUGACACACACUGCCCCCAGCUUCCCUUGGUCAGCCCCGCUCCAGCACGGGGUGAACGGAGGCCCAGAGUUCUAGGGAAGGAGGAAGGGAGGGGAUGCCUCCUCUCUUCCUCCUUUCUUUCCCCAUCUGUUCAUGGAAAGAGUUUGUCUUUCUUAUCUUUAAGCCCCUUUACCCUGGUCCUGUACUGAUCAGUGAAGGAAACCGUGGUUACUGAGGCCCUGUUGAAAAGUGCACGUCUUGUCCAAUAAAUCACGCUGCAAUUGGUGUCCA
rnacentral:sRNA from 1 species